CAGUCGCCACGGUAAUACGUAGGGUGCAAGCGUUAAUCGGAAUUACUGGGCGUAAAGCGUGCGCAGGCGGUUAUAUAAGACAGAUGUGAAAUCCCCGGGCUCAACCUGGGAACUGCAUUUGUGACUGUAUAGCUAGAGUACGGCAGAGGGGGAUGGAAUUCCGCGUGUAGCAGUGAAAUGCGUAGAUAUGCGGAGGAACACCGAUGGCGAAGGCAAUCCCCUGGGCCUGUACUGACGCUCAUGCACGAAAGCGUGGGGAGCAAACAGGAUUAGAGACCCCUGUAGUCCCUGUCUCUUAUAC
rnacentral:rRNA from 1 species